AGCGAACGUUAGCGGCGCGCCUAACACAUGCAAGUCGCACGAGAAACGGAGCAAUCCGCGGUACAGUGGCGCACGGGUGAGUAACACGUGGAUGACCUUCCCUGGAGUGGUGGAUAACCUGCCGAAAGGCGGGCUAAUACAGCAUAGGACCACGACGCUUUGGCGAUGUGGUGAAAGCGGGCCUCUAUAUAUAAGCUCGCGCUCCGGGACGGGUCCGCGUCCCAUCAGCUAGUUGGUGAGGUAACGGCUCACCAAGGCAACGACGGGUAGCUGGUCUGAGAGGAUGGCCAGCCACACUGGAACUGAGACACGGUCCAGACUCCUACGGGAGGCAGCAGUGGGGAAUCUUGCGCAAUGGGCGAAAGCCUGACGCAGCGACGCCGCGUGGGCGAAGAAGGCCUUCGGGUUGUAAAGCCCUGUGGGGGAGAACGAACCGUACGGGGGCGAAUACCCUCCGUGCCUGACGGUACUCCUUUAGCAAGCAUCGGCUAACUCUGUG
rnacentral:rRNA from 1 species